ACUCCUACGGGAGGCAGCAGUGGGGAAUAUUGCACAAUGGGCGCAAGCCUGAUGCAGCCAUGCCGCGUGUGUGAAGAAGGCCUUCGGGUUGUAAAGCACUUUCAGUCGUGAGGAAGGUAGUGUAGUUAAUAGCUGCAUUAUUUGACGUUAGCGACAGAAGAAGCACCGGCUAACUCCGUGCCAGCAGCCGCGGUAAUACGGAGGGUGCGAGCGUUAAUCGGAAUUACUGGGCGUAAAGCGCAUGCAGGUGGUUUGUUAAGUCAGAUGUGAAAGCCCGGGGCUCAACCUCGGAAUAGCAUUUGAAACUGGCAGACUAGAGUACUGUAGAGGGGGUAGAAUUUCAGGUGUAGCGGUGAAAUGCGUAGAGAUCUGAAGGAUACCGGUGGCGAAGGCGGCCCCUGGACAGAUACUGACACUCAGAUGCGAAAGCGUGGGAGCAAACAGGA
rnacentral:rRNA from 1 species